rnacentral:tRNA from 1 species
AGCCUUAAGGUGGUUUUCAUGUCGAAUUGCAAAUUCGAAGAGGUAGAGAAAAAUACUCUACUAAGGCUU